CCUACGGGCGGCAGCAGUGGGGAAUAUUGGGCAAUGGGCGCAAGCCUGACCCAGCAACGCCGCGUGAAGGAAGAAGGCUUUCGGGUUGUAAACUUCUUUUAUGGGGGAAGAGCAGAAGACGGUACCCCUUGAAUAAGCCACGGCUAACUACGUGCCAGCAGCCGCUGUCAUACGUAGGUGGCACGCGUUGUCCGGAUUUACUGGGUGUAAAGGGCGUGCAGCCGGAGAGACAAGUCAGAUGUGAAAUCCACGGGCUCAACCCGUGAACUGCAUUUGAAACUGUUUCCCUUGUGUGUCGGAGAGGUAAUCGGAAUGCCUGGUGUAGCGGUGAAAUGCGUAGAUAUAAGGAAGAACACCAGUGGCGAAGGCGGAUUACUGGACGAUAACUGACGGUGAGGCGCGAAAGCGUGGGGAGCAAACAGGAUUAGAUACCCCUGUAGUC
rnacentral:rRNA from 1 species